UGAAACCCGCCAUUUUUGAUGGUACAGUGCGUUGCAUUGAUGACUGGGGUACCGAUUUUAGGGACCACGUUUCUUUGUUAUUUUUAUAUUCAUGAUCGAAUGCUGCGUCAACGACAUUGACCUAGUUUACAUCGAACACUUAACACCGGGGGUGUUUACGAUAACUAAUCGGAUCUCGGGGGUGUAUUCCGAAAGUUCUAUUGAAAAUAUCCCUUUUAGUCAUAAGGUUGGUAGCGCUGUAACUAACUAUGUUGUGUUCCGUAAUGUAAGUUAAGUUUAUGAUUAUCGUUGGCUCACGGUGGUUUGCAGAGAUCAACAAAGAGGAAUCAAAAAGCAAAAAAUGGAUUUCCAAGAAUUCCGGAGAUAAAAAUCCUAAGUUUUGAUUAAUAUUAAUUUAUUAAUUAACAGCUUCAAUCACAAAAUGUUAAUGUAAAUACAAUCAAACAAUUAAUAUUAUUUGAUGGAGUAUCCAAUUAUACAUUAUAUGUUUCAAAUCAAAUAUAUGAACGUGCGAUUAAAGGGCCGUCCAUUACAA